GAUGAACGCUAGCGGCAGGCUUAACACAUGCAAGUCGAGGGGUAUAGAGUGCUUGCACUUUAGAGACCGGCGCACGGGUGCGUAACGCGUAUGCAAUCUACCUUUCACAAAGGGAUAGCCCAGAGAAAUUUGGAUUAAUACCUUAUAGUAUAUAGAUGUGGCAUGAUUUAGUAUUUAAACAUUCAUGGGUUAAAGAUGAGUAUGCGUCCUAUUAGCUAGAUGGUAAGGUAACGGCUUACCAUGGCAACGAUAGGUAGGGGCCCUGAGAGGGGGAUCCCCCACACUGGUACUGAGACACGGACCAGACUCCUACGGGAGGCAGCAGUGAGGAAUAUUGGGCAAUGGAGGCAACUCUGACCCAGCCAUGCCGCGUGCAGGAUGACUGCCCUAUGGGUUGUAAACUGCUUUUAUACAGGAAGAAACACUCCCUCGUGAGGGAGCUUGACGGUACUGUAAGAAUAAGGACCGGCUAACUCCGUGCCAGCAGCCGCGGUAAUACGGAGGGUCCAAGCGUUAUCCGGAAUCAUUGGGUUUAAAGGGUUCGUAGGCGGAUUAAUAAGUCAGUGGUGAAAUCUCCCGGCUCAACCGGGAAAUGGCCAUUGAUACUGUUAGUCUUGAAUUAUUAGGAAGUAACUAGAAUAUGUAGUGUAGCGGUGAAAUGCUUAGAGAUUACAUGGAAUACCAAUUGCGAAGGCAGGUUACUACUAAUGGAUUGACGCUGAUGGACGAAAGCGUGGGUAGCGAACAGGAUUAGAUACCCUGGUAGUCCACGCCGUAAACGAUGGAUACUAGCUGUUCGGACUUCGGUCUGAGUGGCUAAGCGAAAGUGAUAAGUAUCCCACCUGGGGAGUACGUUCGCAAGAAUGAAACUCAAAGGAAUUGACGGGGGCCCGCACAAGCGGUGGAGCAUGUGGUUUAAUUCGAUCAUACGCGAGGAACCUUACCAGGGCUUAAAUGUAGAUUGACAGGACUAGAGAUAGUUUUUCCUUCGGGCAAUUUACAAGGUGCUGCAUGGUUGUCGUCAGCUCGUGCCGUGAGGUGUCAGGUUAAGUCCUAUAACGAGCGCAACCCCUGUUGUUAGUUGCCAGCGAGUCAUGUCGGGAACUCUAACAAGACUGCCAGUGCAAACUGUGAGGAAGGUGGGGAUGACGUCAAAUCAUCACGGCCCUUACGUCCUGGGCUACACACGUGCUACAAUGGUAGGUACAGAGAGCAGCCACUGGGUGACCAGGAGCGAAUCUAUAAAACCUAUCACAGUUCGGAUCGGAGUCUGCAACUCGACUCCGUGAAGCUGGAAUCGCUAGUAAUCGGAUAUCAGCCAUGAUCCGGUGAAUACGUUCCCGGGCCU
rnacentral:rRNA from 1 species